UAGUCCACGCCCUAAACGAUGUCUACUAGUUGUCGGGUCUUCAUUGACUUGGUAACGCAGCUAACGCGUGAAGUAGACCGCCUGGGGAGUACGGCCGCAAGGUUAAAACUCAAACGAAUUGACGGGGACCCGCACAAGCGGUGGAUGAUGUGGAUUAAUUCGAUGCAACGCGAAAAACCUUACCUACACUUGACAUGUCAGGAACUUUCCAGAGAUGGAUUGGUGCUCGAAAGAGAACCUGAACACAGGUGCUGCAUGGCUGUCGUCAGCUCGUGUCGUGAGAUGUUGGGUUAAGUCCCGCAACGAGCGCAACCCUUAUCCUUAGUUGCUACGCAAGGGCACUCUAAGGAGACUGCCGGUGACAAACCGGAGGAAGGUGGGGAUGACGUCAAGUCCUCAUGGCCCUUAUGUGUAGGGCUACAAACGUGCUACAAUGGGAGUUACAGUGGGCAGCGACGUCGCGAGGCGAAGCUAAUCCCUAAAAGCUCUCUCAGUUCGGAUAGGACU
rnacentral:rRNA from 1 species